GCAUCAUGGAAAGCAUCCAGUCUAGCAUUUUCCAGACACUUGCCUGGAACUAUACACUCAUAUAUGGUCAGAUAAGACAGGGCUGUCCCCAGAGAGCCAUAAACUACAUUAAUGUAGCAAAUCAAAGCUCUGAUAAGUCCUGCAGUAAGGAGACAUGUUUAUAAUUUUGUUUUCUCUGGCACCUUUUAAAAAUCUGUACCGCCUUCCUUCCAUUUCUCAGGUGCCUCGUGAUAUCUUAAAAUGUACUGUUUGGCAAAUACUGAUUUAGUUCAACUCCUCCUAAGACCUAAGGCCAACAGUAAAACUGAAGCCCAAGACGUGGGAGGAUUUGCCCAAGGCUGCACAAUCAGAAGAAAAUGCAGCCAUCCUGACUCGGAACUGUCUCAGCAGGCCUGGCUUUGAAUUUUAGACGUUGCCAUGGAGGACCAGGGGAUCUCAGAUCUGCAGGAGAGAUAUUAUCAUGAUCCCCAUUCUGCAGAUAAGACAACUGAGGCUCAGAACGGUGAGAAGACUUUCUGAGCAGUCUUCCAUCGGGCAGUGUCGGGAUUUGAACCCAGGUCUCAAAGAACAUCUACGAUCUAUGGUGUAUUGGGGCCUUGCUCUGUGCCCAGCAUUUUAAUAACAGCAGCAUCACAGCAAUAACAAUACUGAACCCUUGUCCGCACUUGACCCCCGUCAGCUCAUUUAAUAACAACAAUCCUCAUGCACCAGAACCCCGAUUUCCAGAUAAGGAAACACAGCACGGGAAAGAUAAACAUUCUGUGCAUCCUGCUGGUUAGUGUGGCACAGCCACUUUCAGAACUCAGGCCUGGCCACCAGCCAACUCGGAACGCCCUGGCUGAACCCCUCCAUCCGCACAUGGCCCCAGCGUGUCUCCUGGCCCACCACCCCCGGCAGAGCCUCUGAUGUUUACAAUUCUGCCCCGGGAGGCUUUGAAAACUCCCCCUACACGCCGCCUGCCCCGCCAGGGCUUGUAUCUGCCCAGCCUGCCUCGCAAUGGCUUUUAUUGAUUCUCUGGCCUGCCAGCCUGUGCCGGGAACACACUCUUUUUAAUGGAGCGUUAAUUGGGAGGGAAGAGAGAGAAAGCUGUUCCCCUGCCCAGCAGGGACUGAGUCUCCUGUCUCCUCCUCCUUUCUCCCAGGCUGGGAUGUGGCGGCAAGGACCCCAGGCCUGGCGUCCUGGGCAGGCCUAGACUCUUCCUGCUGCUGACUCAUGGCGUGACCUCGGACAAGUUCCGCUUGGGCCUCAGCCUCCUCAGCUGUGAAAUGGGAGCAGACAGCCCUGCUUCUCAGGGCCGGAGUGAGGAUUACUUGGAAGAAGGAAUCUAAGAGUCUUAGUCCAGUUUUUGGUACUUAGUAGGUGCUCAAUAAAUCAUCAAAUCUCUUCUGGCCUCCCAAUUCCCAAGACAGCCUGAGUUUGAAUCUGGGCGGCCUUGGACAAGUUACUUUCAGCUUUCUGUGCCUCAGUUUCCUCAUCUGUGAAAAGAGGAGACAGACAGGCCCCACCUCCUCUGGUUGCCUUCACUGAGAUGCUACAGCAGUGCCUGCAUGAGGCCGUUUGCUAAAAAUAAUUCUAUGGAGAGCAACAGUUACCAUCAUUUUUGGCCCCCUCUUACGCUUCUGUGGCGAGCACGUGCCAACCCGUUGAACCGUCACAACAUCGGGGAUGUUAUCACCACCCCCAUUUUGCAGGGGUCUGGAGCUCUUGUUCCAGGCGUGGGCGCAGAUCCUGGUGGCCUGCCGCAUUCGGGCUCCAGAUGGAGAAAGACCCACGUCAGAGUUCCCUCCGUUGGACACCCUAGGAGCCCAGCACAUCUGCAGCAAAUAGGAGAGGUGUAUGCUCGUGUCUUUUUCCAUUCCCUUUCUCAGACCCCCGAUGGAAUUUCCAGCACGUUCGGCUCCACGGGGGCAGGACCCUCGGGUGUCUUGCUCGCAGCAACAUCCCUGGUGCCUGGAAGGGUGCCUGGUGCAUUGUCGGAGCUUGGCAGGUCUUGCCAAGCAGGUGAUGUCCCGUUAGCGACCCAGUGUCACAAUUGCCUGGCUCACAUGUGGCAGACCCUGUACGCAGUAACAGCAUUAGAAUGGGGCUAAAAUUUCCAGAGUGCCUAGAAGGUGCCAGCACCCAAUGGAAUGCUUUCCAAGCGUGCUAUUUAUUUAUUCCUCACCACAGCCCCCCUCCCAGAAGUUCAUACCAUCAUCAUCUCCAUCUGACAGAUGAGGACACUGAGGUUCAACACGGGAGGGAACUUGUCCAAGGCCACCAGCUUGUGGGUUCUAAAUCCAGCUGUGUCUGAACUUCAAGCCCCGUCCUCUUUCCUUGGCCAAAUGCCCGGGCAAAAACAAGAUGAUUAAUAAAUUAAAUAAAUAAACAACCCACGUGGUCCCUCCCUACCCAAGUCAGUGCCCUCAUAAUCCUACACAGCUAAUGCUUAUUUAUUCAGCUCUAGCUUCCUGUUACUAUUAUGUCCAAAAUUCUUUCCAGAAUGUUCUGAAUAACAGUAAUUCACGAUAGCCACGCUUUCUGUUUUGUGGAGGAAAGUUUUAUUAAUUAUACGGGAAAGGGAAUAUAUGGAAUUAAAUAAUUCGAGUAAACAUAAAGAGGGGGAGAGUAUAGAGAAGAACAGAGAAGGGUUAACACAUCAAAUCAGGUACUCGCAACAUCCAACCUCUGGCUGGGGGAGCCCCUCGGUGAACAGCCCCCUCUGGAGUCCCGACUGAGGGUCCUGGGCAGAAUGUCCUCCCCUUGGGUGAGGCUUCCAACUAACUAUUCCCGCCAGGGCAAUAUAUACACUACCCAUGUGUGAUCUCUGGUUAGUCAUGAAGUUUGCCUAAGUGCAGUCCUGAGCAAGCUGGGUUUUUUCUCUGUGUCUCUUAUCCUAUCUCACAAUCUUAGGAGCCUGGGCCUGUGCACGUUUCUCUUCCCGCCCUGAUCCAUUCCAGGGGACCAGCCUGGUCUGGCUCAAGAAGGUGAGGCAAGUUAAUCCCCCUUGGCGUCAGGAACAGAAGGGCCAAUUCUGAUCCCGAGGCCAGAUACGGAGCACAAGCCAACUAAGCCCCCCAUGACGGUGUAUGUGUGGCUCUGGGCAGAAAUGCAUGACAAGUCUCACGAACACGCUCUAUACAGAACACAGGGAUCGCUUCCUCUGACCACCUCUGCAAGUAAUAAUAAUAAUAAUACUUAUUUAA